rnacentral:rRNA from 1 species
GACGAACGCUGGCGGCGUGCUUAACACAUGCAAGUCGAACGGAAAGGCCCUGCUUUUGUGGGGUGCUCGAGUGGCGAACGGGUGAGUAACACGUGAGUAACCUGCCCUUGACUUUGGGAUAACUUCAGGAAACUGGGGCUAAUACCGGAUAGGAGCUCCUGCUGCAUGGUGGGGGUUGGAAAGUUUCGGCGGUUGGGGAUGGACUCGCGGCUUAUCAGCUUGUUGGUGGGGUAGUGGCUUACCAAGGCUUUGACGGGUAGCCGGCCUGAGAGGGUGACCGGCCACAUUGGGACUGAGAUACGGCCCAGACUCCUACGGGAGGCGGCAGUGGGGAAUAUUGCACAAUGGGCGGAAGCCUGAUGCAGCAACGCCGCGUGCGGGAUGACGGCCUUCGGGUUGUAAACCGCUUUCGCCUGUGACGAAGCGUGAGUGACGGUAAUGGGUAAAGAAGCACCGGCUAACUACAUG